GAAAUAGUUUAUUUAAAACAAUAAUUUUGGAGAUUAUAGAUAUAAUAAAUUAGUUUAUUUUU
rnacentral:tRNA from 1 species